rnacentral:lncRNA from 1 species
CAAUCACAGGUGCAACUGCUUGUCCCGCUCAUUGAACAUCCACUCGAUCCACUCAAAUUUCUCAUUAACGUCAUUCAUGACGCCGAGCAUGUCCCAGUAGCGCUUCUGUGCAAGAAGUGCACAUGCGAAAAAGUAGAGAGGUGUACGCCGCUGCAGUCGUCCCGUCGCCAACAACUCUUCAACGCAAGCAAUGCCGGCAUUGUUUUUCGAAGUCAUCAUGGUAUUAAUUUUCACUGCCACUUUCUCCCCUGCACUGGUGGCACGGUCGAUUGAGAACAACAACUCACGCGCUGAGAUCUUUUUCUUCUUGCCACGUUGCUUAGCGCUAGAAGACUUCCUUUUACGGCCACUGGUGGUGCUAGAGACGUUUAUGCCAACUCCGACGUUUGCUUUGUCCAUCUCAUCACAAGAACCACUGCUCUCCCCGUCAAUCGGGAUUACGUCCAUAUUGUCUUCGAGCACACUAUCCUCGAAUAGGCAGAAUCCAGUUUUGCACAAUUUUGUUGGCGUGACUGCGUACUUGUCGCCGAAUAGCUGACGGUAGCGAACAUAGAUAUUGUUGACGUCCUUGUCUUUAAAUUCUUUAUCGUCCUUAUUUUCCUGCGAAUAAAGGUUUCACCAGUGAGGCUACCAUUUUGGGCAUUGUAAAGAGUUCUAGAAAAACAAUACAACACUGUUAGAGUCACGAGUCACUUUAUAGGAAGCCUGAUAUUUACACGAGAGUUGCGUGCAAUAGUAGAAGUAAAAAUUACAAUUCCGACUUGGGCGUAAGAUAAAUAAGCCGAUUCAUUGGUCCUUUCGAAUUUCCACAAGUAAACUGGAGUGCAACAUAACUGUUUCGACUUACAUGCAAUGAUAUAACAACACAUCACACGUGUUUCUAGUUUAUUUCGUCUGCAUUAUUAUCAUUAAUUUUUCUCUAACUAGUAUAUCUUAUAUUUCUUCCAUAAAAUAUGUUACACAACACAAAAAGGCCUAUUGUAAUUCAUAUAUAUAAUUACUUUGACAAAUUUUUGCCACUCAUUUUAAAGCACCGUAACGAAACAUUUGCACAUGUAGGCAAAGAUUAAUGGAACGUUAAAGAUAAUUUUGUUUCUAAAACAAAUUAAUCAUGUAAUAUGACGGAAUGAAUUUUAAAGACUUUCAUCGUAAUUCAAAACAAACUAAUGAAGAUGUUUCCUUUGUUUUUGAGGUCCAAUUUGUUUCUUGACUCAUAGCUAUCAAAACUAAAGAAAAAGAAAUUCUUUCUGCACUUGUAACCCUUCCAACAUAUGUCUAUCUCACUGAUCAUUUCGAACAAUAAUUCGUAAAACUGUCAUAAACGGGCAGAUAUGUUCUUGUUCUAGAAUUCCCACAUAUUUUCUUGGUCCUCAAUCUAUCUUCGACAUCACAAUCACAUGCUAAUCAAAAGUAAAGCAAGUGCAAUUAGUUGUAGCCUACAUCUUCUAAUGUUACAGUUUCAUGUAAAUUAAAACUUUGAAAAACAGUGGUUACAUAAUGGAAACUAACAUUAUAUAGUUGGCACUCAUGUCGAAAGAAGACUGUAUUCCCUAUUUCAUUCUGGAUUGGCAUCCAGAAACUGACGUUCGUUCAAGGAUUGAAAGAACAUACAUAUCACGUUGGAGUACACAAGGCAUUCUAUACAAUCGUGAUAUUGAUGAGGAAAGUUGUGAAACGGUUACCUUAAUCUUUCGGUUCCACCAUUCCUUCGAUGCGACAAUUUGGUCGGUGGAUUCGUUGUACGCAACCCCGCUGCUAUUUAAAAGCUCAAAGAGACGUUUGUGUGUUCGAUGCAUUGCAUCCCAGCAGUUGCGUAGUUGCUGCUUGCUCCAGUUGUGGCUGGUGAUUAUUUUGAAAAUCGCGGAGACUCGUUGCCAGCCGUAAUUCGUAAAACACCGGUCAUUCCGACGUCCCUCGACGAUGGCAGUUUCACAGGCCGCAAUGAAAGUUCAUGUAUCUGGGCUCCAACGCGCAUAAGUUUUGGACCCCGAGGCUCGACCCCCUCCUAUGCGAAGGGCGGCUCGCUUAGUGGAACGUUUCCAUGCUGCAAAUUUAGGAGUCGAACUCAGCAAUGACGCAAAAUUGAACGGAAAGUGCGGGACAAAUGGUGGGGAAAGAUGAAGUACCUGUAGGCUGACGAGCUCCAUUUGGGGUCGGCGGAGAUGCGUUCCGAUGGCGGAGUUCUCUGGAAGAGUUACUGCAACGACACUGCCGACGUCGUUGAUGCUUUUCCUUGCAAGCUUUCACAUGCGUGUCGCUGAUGACACCCUAAAUCCCGUCUGGUGAUUGUGGCGUUCGCGGUGGUCGUCUGGUUUGGCGAAAGUGGACGCUGAUCUUCGCUUUCUCGUCUCCACAAUGAGAGAGUUUAGGGCUGUCGGUGGAAAGGGUAAAAAUUGGAAAGGGCAAAGUUUAAUGACUGUGAAGUUUCAGAUGGGUUGUCAGAAAAGUGCAGCAGAACGGUCAAAUAAUAUUUUAUUGGCAGAAGAAAAUGGGAACAAACGGGUGGUUAAUUAAUGGGGGUGUUCGAUAGUCAUUUUUAUAUAAAAAUACAUUUUAAAAUAGUAAAUUGAUAUGAAAUGUGUAAUUAAAAAAUAAAAAAUAAAAACUUAUUUACUUAUAAUAUUAUUUUAAUAAAAAAUGUAUAAUGAAAAAGAAGAGGAAGAAAAAUACAUUUUGAAAAAAAUAUUACCAAACGAGGCCUAAGUUGUCUUGAAUGUGGAGUACGCAAGCUCCUGUCAAGAUAAUUACACUGAUUCUACGUAAUAAAAGCGUGUUGUCAGUACUCAAAAUAAGUCAAAUUUUCCGUCCUGUUAAUUAACGUGAUCCUUAAAAGUUACUUUUUCCCCUUACACAAAUAACUUCCUAAAGACAGCAGUAAUGUCCUCAAAUUUUUAAGAGUAAUGUGAAAUAGCCCCACUGAGGUUGAAUUAGUGUAAUAAAAGCAAGUUUUCAGUACUCAGAAUAAGUCAAAUUUAUUUUCCACUUAAUUAAUGUGAUUCUUAGAAGUUACUUUUUGUCCCCGUAAUUCAUAAAAACAGAAGUAAUAUGUCCUUAAAUUUAAGAGGGAUAUAUAGCAUUACUAAGGGAAGCAGACAUUUUGGCCUUCCUAAAUGAUAAACUUAUAUUUUAUAUAUAUAUUUUUAAUUAAAACGAUUGAGAGAUUAUAUCUCAACGUCAAAAGCUGGCAAGAACAUUAACAAAAGGCAGACAGCUAAAAUUGUUUCUGAAAAAGCGCAAGAGAAAUGGAUGCAAAUGUAGUCUUUAAAUAAAAUAAAAAAUAAAAAAAUCAACUUGCUACAACAAAUUGAAGUUGAAAAAAAUAGUAAGGUACAGAGCUUUGAUAUUGCCAAUUCCAUAAAAGUGAUCCAAGCAAAAAUUAACCAGCAAUAAUAAAUCCUUAACAGCUUCAUGCCUACAAAACCAAAGUAGUCGUCAAUUACAUGAACGGAAGAAGAGCAAAAUGUAUCGAAAUGCAAAAAGAGAGUGUUUUUAUUUUUAUUUAUUUUUAAUUUUUAUGUCCGUGGGUAUUCGGACCAGCACGCACACCUUGAAUAAUUCCACGGAACCCUAAAAUUUGCAAUCGGAUACUCACCUCAAUGAUCCUGAGGGGACUCGAACUGGUGAUCAUUAGGGGACAAACUCAAAGCCUAACCACUGAACUACCCCUCAAAGUUGCAAAAAGAGAGAGUUGAAGCAACCAUUGGCACAUAACAAGACAGAUACAUGUCUUCCCAAAUAAUCAAUUAAGAUGGAGCAAUCAAUAAGCAAUAUUUCAAGUACCAGCGCAUUCUAGAUAUUACCAAGUGAACUGGCUGUAAUUGCAGGAUUUCUCUUAUGGGUAUAGCAUUAGUAAAAAUCAAUAAGAUACUUCGUGCUGUAAAAUGUCAUAAUUAUCACUCGGGCUAGUUUUAACGGCGAAAAAGACUUAUCCAUGCACUUGCCUUGCCAGCGAUGUUGCUUGAAAGCCAAUCCAACCCUUCAUAAAGGCCCUCCCCCGAGGUUGCACAUGUGCUCUGGAUAUACCUGGAGCAAUUGGCCGUACAAAAUGAGAGAAAUUUCAAAGCUCCAUGCAUGAAACGGACUUUUAAUUCCAGAAGUUUCGCAAUAGGCUACCUAUGUCUUCUCUUGAGAGUUACAACUUUAUGGAUGAUGUAAACAAAACAAAACAAAAAAUGCAUCAUAUAUGAAGUUGGAUUGACUAAAACUACUGAGUUCAUUUUCUCGUGGAAGUAAUUAUUUCUGCCUCUCAUAAUCAAUUGCUCAAACUACCUAAAGAAAAUACAAGAAAGAUCCAGUAUAAUUAAACACGGGCAAAGUAUAAGAAAAUCUUACCAAUGACGUUGACGAAGAGAGUGGAGGCCAAGUUUGUCUGUAAUUUCUGCAGCAUUCAUUGCAUUAGGCAGAUCUUGCUUAUUAGCAAAUACAAGCAAGACAGCAUCCCUCAAUUCAUCCUGGAGGCAUAAGAGAUACAAUAUUUAAAACUACAUUCACGAGGGAAUAAAGACCUAAAAUAAACAAGUAAUAAAUGAAAAUGUGCCUCGUUCAACAUUCUGUGCAGUUCAUCUCUUGCUUCGACAACUCGAUCCCUGUCGUUGCUAUCAACCACAAAAAUUAGACCCUGAGUAUUUUGGAAGUAGUGCCUCCACAAUGGACGGAUCUGAAUGAAAGAAAAAUGGCAAUCAGCUAGAGCCUAGUGGGUGUAAGUAUAUAGUGAGGGCAGGCAACAAGAAUAGAUGGAAGACAUCUACAGAUGCACACCAUUCAUUUUAUUGACAUAGAUAAUAUAGGAGAGGAAAAUUGUCAAAUGCUGAAAGGCAGCAACAUUAACAGAUGUAGCACACACAUAUAACAUACAGGUAGAUUCAACAUCAUUGCAGUGAAGCCACAUUUCGCUCAUUAUAUUUUUAGGAUUAAUUAAAACCUUCAUCAUUAGAGUCUACCGGUAUUUCCUCCAUAAAUAUCAGGGAUAGCAAGCGGUUGGACUUGUCAAGCUCGAGCAUUGUCUAUCAUGACUAAAUACAAUAAAUACAUUUAAGAGCUUUAUGAAGGAAAAGGAAACGUUUGAAAUUUAUAGAAAGAGAUUGAAGUACUCGGUGUCUCCAGCAUAAGUAAUUCAAAUCACCAGUGCAUCAAAAAAAGUAAGGUAAAGGGAUAAAAAAAUACAUCAAAAUGCGUAACUGUGUAAUUUACAAUAACUUUAUGCGAACAUUUCACUAGUAUUUUUAGAGAAUCCGGAAAUAUUUCAAAGAUAACAAGAAAUAAUCAUUCACAAGGCUCCCCUCUGUCAGGGAAAACCAUUACAUAUACGGAACCUAUGAUUUGGAGUCGAAGCUUAGUGACAAUCACAGGUAAAGCAAUAUUAAAAAUUUAUAAAACCUCUUAAACAUGAUAGAAGACAACAUUUAACGUAAGAGCAGAAUCCUCGAUAGUAGAUAAUUAUAAAGCUCUCAUCUGAAGUGGAUCUGAACGUAAACAGGUACCAAAUCAGACCAAUGAAAACGAAUCCAACCAUUCUCGCGCAAUCAGAUCCACGAUCAACAAUACUCAUA